rnacentral:rRNA from 1 species
AUUGAACGCUGGCGGCAGGCCUAACACAUGCAAGUCGAGCGGAUGAAGGGAGCUUGCUCCUGGAUUCAGCGGCGGACGGGUGAGUAAUGCCUAGGAAUCUGCCUGGUAGUGGGGGAUAACGUCCGGAAACGGGCGCUAAUACCGCAUACGUCCUGAGGGAGAAAGUGGGGGAUCUUCGGACCUCACGCUAUCAGAUGAGCCUAGGUCGGAUUAGCUAGUUGGUGGGGUAAAGGCCUACCAAGGCGACGAUCCGUAACUGGUCUGAGAGGCUGAUCAGUCACACUGGAACUGGGACACGGUCCAGACUACUACGGGAGGCAGCAGUGGGGAAUAUUGGACAAUGGGCGAAAGCCUGAUCCAGCCAUGCCGCGUGUGUGAAGAAGGUCUUCGGAUUGUAAAGCACUUUAAGUUGGGAGGAAGGGCAGUAAGUUAAUACCUUGCUGUUUUGACGUUACCAACAGAAUAAGCACCGGCUAACUUCGUG